rnacentral:lncRNA from 1 species
CCGGGAACCCCGAACAUCCCCUUUCUCUACUCUUUCCCUUUGGAGUCUAUAGAGGGAGAAGCAGAGCCUAAGGCUUCAUCAGUUUGAAUACUGGCUGGGGCUGGGCAAGUUAGUGGCUCAAAGUGUUGAAUCUGUCCCUAAAGCAGGGACAGAAAUGGAGGCUCAGGAGGUAGAGGUGGCAGUGGGCGUGCAGGAGAAGCUGUAGGUCAGGAGGUAGAGGUGGCAGUGGGCGUGCAGGAGAACUGUAGGUCAGAGUGGAGAGGUGGCAGUGGGCGUGCAGGAGAAGCUGUAGGUCGGGGGGUAGAGGUGGCAGUGGGCGUGCAGGAGAAGGUGUAGGUCAGGAGGCAGAGGUGGCAGUGGGCGUGCAGGAGAAGCUGUAGGUCGGAGAGGGUGCAGAGUGGAGAACAGAUGAGCUGGAGUCACACCAUGCCCUAUACCCAGCCAGAGGCCGAAGUGAGCCUGUCACGGUAAUGCCACUGCCUGCUUGAUUCCCUCCCAUGCCUAGCCUGGGUUCUUCAUGAUCCCUGAGGCCCUCUUUGAUGUCAUCCCGCUGCCUCAAAACCUGUGUGUGCUGGUGGCUCCCUCUGCUUUCCUUCCAGAUGACUCCUUCGCUUCAGCUCAAAUGUCACCUUUGGCUGUUAAAAUCCUUUCCGGAGGAAGUUGUAAACAAUGCCUACCCCUCCUCCCGAGGUCUCUGAUUCCACUCCAGGGAAGAUUGCUCUGGGGGAGCCAAUGAGUUUGUUGGGAUUACUUCCAGAGCAUAGGUGAGGGGUUAGUUACUUGAAUAUGAGUGCUGCCCACCAAAAGACCGCACUGAAAAGUCUUUACCCAGCAGGGGUGAUGGU